ncrna:unclassified sequences IMES-5 RNA
UUGUGAGGAAGGCAGCGGCUCGAGAAGCUGGGGUACUUAGAAGAGAGAAGCAGAAGGGUGAGAAGUCGAGAGAGAUUUCGCCACAUGUUGGACGGGAAGGUCAGAGUCUAACGCUGGUAGACCGCCAGACCCCUUCUACUUCG